UCGCUUCAGCAGCGCAUAUACUAAAAAUUGGAACGAUACAGAGAAGAUUAACAUGGCCCCUGUGCAAGGAUGACACGCAAAUUCAUGAAGCGUUCCAUAUUUUU
ensembl:snRNA U6 U6 spliceosomal RNA